GACUAACGCUGGCGGCGUGCCUAACACAUGCAAGUCGAACGGGGUAGCAAUACCCAGUGGCAGACGGGUGAGUAACGCGUAGAUAAUGUGCCCUCUUGCGGGGGGAUACCGUUUCGAAAGGAACGUUAAUACCGCAUAAAGCCUUCGAAGGGCAUCCUUUGAAGGGCAAACUGAUUCAGGGCGAGAGGAGCAAUCUGCGUACUAUCAGCUAGUUGGUGAGGUAAUGGCUCACCAAGGCUACGACGGUUAACUGGUCUGAGAGGAUGAUCAGUCACACUGGAACUGAGACACGGUCCAGACUCCUACGGGAGGCAGCAGUGAGGAAUAUUGCGCAAUGGGGGAAACCCUGACGCAGCGACGCCGCGUGGAGGAUGAAGGCC
rnacentral:rRNA from 1 species